UUGGAUCCGGAUAUUUUUGAUUAAUUUAGCAUUUAUGUUGUUAGUUUUCAUUGGAUUUUGGUAUGGAUUUUCAUGACUAAGAAUUUGUUACAGUCUUAAGUUUUAUGGGAUUAGUUCUGUGAUUGUUGUUGUGAUGGAAUAUGAAUUGGAAAAUCUGAUUUUCAAGUGUUUGGUACCAUUAUUUAUAGUGUUCAAAUUUUGGUUCCAUUCUUUUUAUUGAGAUUUUUCAGCUUUUUACGUCUACCAGAUUGGAUUCUAACGUAUUAUAAACUAUUUUCAUGGUUUGGAUGAUUGUUGAUGGAUUUGUUGUUGGUGGAGUAUGCGGGUGGUGUUGCUUACACUAACGGUGCUGUUAGUGGUGGUGUUGCUGCUACAAGGUUGUGGCAUCACAAGAUUGGCCUGAGGCGAGGAAGUGUGCUGGUUUCGUGUGUGCUCAAGCCCACUGCCAAGAGUUGAUUCAGAUUUUUUUAAAGUAUGGUAAGAUCUAGUUCGAGAACUGUGACGGGAGGCAUGGUUAGGGAACUUCUUAUCUCGUUUCGUAGAGCAACUGGACAGAAUCCUCAGCAUAAUAUAUUUUAAAGGGUCAGUUUUAUCAAGUUCUACUCUAUGAGCUUGAUGUUAUUCGCAAGGUAAUGCGAUGACAAGUUGCUACUUUUCUUAGGGACAAAAGGUCUAUAGAUAGUAAGAUCUUUGUUAAGGUGGAUAAUUUUAUGUACUGUGUGAAAAUAGCUGAGCAGUUGUAGUCUUGAAUAGUAGACAGUCCUCAUGUUGAUAGUAAUUUUUUAUUUUUAGAUUCUUUAACUUAAAUUUCUGUUGGCGCAAUGCGGAAAUGUGAUGGAUGUAUGGGAAAUGAAUUUAAGAAAAGAAGUUGGUUAAUUGAAAAGUGAGGCUUUAAUUAAUAGAAAGGUGAAAAUGUUACAAGGGGAA